UCUCUUACCCAUGUCUUUUGAGUACCUUCGUUUCCUCGGCGGGUCCGCCCGCCGAUUGGACACAUUUAAACCCUUUGUAGUUGCAAUCAGCGUCUGAAAAAACUUAAUAGUUACAACUUUCAACAACGGAUCUCUUGGUUCUGGCAUCGAUGAAGAACGCAGCGAAAUGCGAUAAGUAGUGUGAAUUGCAGAAUUCAGUGAAUCAUCGAAUCUUUGAACGCACAUUGCGCCCCUUGGUAUUCCAUGGGGCAUGCCUGUUCGAGCGUCAUUUGUACCUUCAAGCUCUGCUUGGUGUUGGGUGUUUGUCUCGCCUCUGCGCGCAGACUCGCCUCAAAACAAUUGGCAGCCGGCGUAUUGAUUUCGGAGCGCAGUACAUCUCGCGCUUUGCACUCAUAACGACGACGUCCAAAAGUACAUUUUUUACACUCUUGACCUCGGAUCAGGUAGGGAUACCCGCUGAACUUAAGCAUAUCAUAA
rnacentral:rRNA from 1 species